rnacentral:misc_RNA from 1 species
CCUUUCAAUGCAGCAGAGUUGAGGAUGGUUGAGUAUCUCGCCCUCUCCAUUCUCGCCUGUAUUCUACCCUUGUUUUUCAUAUACUAUUAUUUCCUCGGCAGGCAUUGCCUGCCGGAGUGAAACCACUUUAUAACCUGUUUAAUUUUCAAUCAGCGUCUGAACAAAUUAAUAAUUA